UUAUUUAAAAAAACAGUUAUACUCUUAAUAAACUGUAAUCCUUCCUGUUAAGUCUUAGUCAAAAUUCUCAAGACAACAGCUCCAUUUUCCUACAGCACAGAGAUGAAAGUGAUAAAUGGUGCUAAAAGGCAUCAACCAUUUUCUCUCACUAACAUGUAGCCCCUACAAAGGCAAGGGCUUUUUUUACCCUUUGCUCACUGAAAUAUUUCUAGUCUGUGGAAUAAUUCUUGACAUGGGUUAAACCUUGAAAAA